UACGUAGGGUGCAAGCGUUAAUCGGAAUUACUGGGCGUAAAGCGUGCGCAGGCGGUUGUGCAAGACAGAUGUGAAAUCCCCGGGCUCAACCUGGGAACUGCAUUUGUGACUGCACGGCUGGAGUGCGGCAGAGGAGGAUGGAAUUCCGCGUGUAGCAGUGAAAUGCGUAGAUAUGCGGAGGAACACCGAUGGCGAAGGCAAUCCCCUGGGCCUGCACUGACGCUCAUGCACGAAAGCGUGGGGAUCAAACAGG
rnacentral:rRNA from 1 species